rnacentral:pre_miRNA from 14 species
AACCGCACGAGAUAAUAGUGGAUUAUCCCGUGCGGUUGUCUUAAGCGGACCGCACGGGAUAAUCGAUUAUCCCGUGCGGCC